UACGGAGGGUGCAAGCGUUAUCCGGAUUCACUGGGUUUAAAGGGUGCGUAGGCGGUCUUAUAAGUCAGUGGUGAAAUCUCUCAGCUUAACUGAGAAACUGCCGUUGAUACUGUAGGACUUGAGUACAGAUGAUGUUGGCGGAAUAUGACAUGUAGCGGUGAAAUGCAUAGAUAUGUCAUAGAACACCGAUUGCGAAGGCAGCUGACAAAACUGUAACUGACGCUGAGGCACGAAAGUGUGGGGAUCAAACAGG
rnacentral:rRNA from 1 species